UUAAGUCCCGCAACGAGCGCAACCUUAUCCUUUGUUGCCAGCGGUCCGGCCGGGAACUCAAAGGAGACUGCCAGUGAUAAACUGGAGGAAGGUGGGAUGACGUCAAGUCAUCAUGGCCCUUACGACCAGGGCUACACACGUGCUACAAUGGCGCAUACAAAGAGAAGCGACCUCGCGAGAGCAAGCGGACCUCAUAAAGUGCGUCGUAGUCCGGAUUGGAGUCUGCAACUCGACUCCAUGAAGUCGGAAUCGCUAGUAAUCGUGGAUCAGAAUGCCACGGUGAAUACGUUCCCGGGCCUU
rnacentral:rRNA from 1 species